rnacentral:rRNA from 1 species
UGGGGAAUAUUGCACAAUGGGCGCAAGCCUGAUGCAGCCAUGCCGCGUGUAUGAAGAAGGCCUUCGGGUUGUAAAGUACUUUCAGCGGGGAGGAAGGGAGUAAAGUUAAUACCUUUGCUCAUUGACGUUACCCGCAGAAGAAGCACCGGCUAACUCCGUGCCAGCAGCCGCGGUAAUACGGAGGGUGCAAGCGUUAAUCGGAAUUACUGGGCGUAAAGCGCACGCAGGCGGUUUGUUAAGUCUGAUGUGAAAGCCCCCGGCUCAACCGGGGAGGGUCAUUGGAAACUGGGAGACUUGAGUGCAGAAGAGGAGAGUGGAAUUCCAUGUGUAGCGGUGAAAUGCGUAGAUAUAUGGAGGAACACCAGUGGCGAAGGCGGCUCUCUGGUCUGUAACUGACGCUGAGGCUCGAAAGCGUGGGGAGCAAACAGG